AGCGAGAAAAGGGGGGCAACUCCCUGAGUACAGCGGCGCACGGGUGAGUAACACGUGGGUAAUCUGCCCUGGAGUGGGGAAUAACACCGGGAAACCGGUGCUAAUACCGCAUACGAUAGCGAGGUCUGCGGAUUUCGUUAUGAAAGGAGCAAUUCGCUCUAGGAGGAGCCCGCGGCUGAUUAGCUAGUUGGUGAGGUAAUGGCUCACCAAGGCAACGAUCAGUAUCCGGUCUGAGAGGACGGUCGGACACACUGGAACUGAGACACGGUCCAGACUCCUACGGGAGGCAGCAGUGGGGAAUUUUUGGCAAUGGGGGCAACCCUGACCAAGCAACGCCGCGUGGGUGAUGAAGUCUCUUGGGACGUAAAACCCUUUCGACGGGGAAGAAACCGCAAGGUUGACGGUACCCGUAGAAGAAGCCCCGGCUAACUCCGUGCCAGCAGCCGCGGUAAUACGGGGGGGGCAAGCGUUGUUCGGAAUUACUGGGCGUAAAGGGCGCGUAGGCGGUUCGCUAAGUCGGAUGUGAAAACUCUGGGCUCAACCCAGAGCCUGCAUCCGAAACUGGCGGGCUAGAGUUCUGGAGGGGGUAGCGGAAUUCCUGGUGUAGCGGUGAAAUGCGUAGAUAUCAGGAGGAACACCGGUGGCGAAGGCGGCUACCUGGACAGAAACUGACGCUGAGGCGCGAAAGCUAGGGGAGCAAACAGGAUUAGAUACCCUGGUAGUCCUAGCCCUAAACGAUGGAUACUUGGUGUGACGGGGAUUGAAUCCCGUCGUGCCGAAGCUAACGCAUUAAGUAUCCCGCCUGGGGAGUACGGUCGCAAGG
rnacentral:rRNA from 1 species